rnacentral:rRNA from 1 species
GUGGGGAAUCUUGCGCAAUGGACGAAAGUCUGACGCAGCCACGCCGCGUGAGUGAAGAAGGCCUUCGGGUUGUAAAGCUCUGUCGAGCGGGACGAACAUUUGGUCGUUUAAGAGACGGUCGAACUGACGGUACCGCUAAAGGAAGCACCGGCUAACUCCGUGCCAGCAGCCGCGGUAAUACGGAGGGUGCAAGCGUUGCUCGGAAUUAUUGGGCGUAAAGGGUAGGUAGGUGGUCUCAUUUGUCUGGGGUGAAAUCCUUGAGCUUAACUCAAGAACUGCCCUAGAAACGGUGAGACUGGAGUCCUGGAGAGGGUCGUGGAAUUCCCGGUGUAGCGGUGAAAUGCGUAGAGAUCGGGAGGAACACCAGCGGCGAAGGCGGCGACCUGGACAGGAACUGACACUCAACUACGAAAGCGUGGGGAGCAAACAGGAUUAGAUACCCCAGUAGUCC